rnacentral:rRNA from 1 species
GAUGAACGCUGGCGGCGUGCUUAACACAUGCAAGUUGUGCGGGUGCARCAAUGCACCAGCAGCGGACGGGUGAGUAAAGCACAAGGACUUGUCCUUCGGAGGGGGACAACUGCGGGAAACCGCAGCUGAUACCCCGUAAGCCGRGAGGUGAAAGCAGCAAUGCGCCGGAGGAGAGACUUGUGUCCUAUCAGGCAGUUGGCGGGRUAAARGCCCACCAGACCGAAGACGGGUAGCCGGACUGAGAGGUCGUACGGCCACAUUGGAACUGAGACACGGUCCAGACUCCUACGGGAGGCAGCAGUGGGGAAUAUUGGGCAAUGGGCGCAAGCCUGACCCAGCGACGCCGCGUGAGGGAAGAAGGCCUUCGGGUUGUAAACCUCUGUUGCAGGGGAAGAAAMGAAUGACGGUACCCUGCGAGGAAGCUCSGGCUAASUACGUGCCAGCAGCCGCGGUAAUACGUAGGGAGCGAGCGUUGUCCGGAAUUACUGGGCGUAAAGGGCGCGUAGGCGGUCAUUCAAGUCAUCKGUAAAAUGGAAGGGCUUAACCCUUCAGGGCAGAUGAAACUGGAAGACUGGAGGUGCACAGAAGCAGGCAGAAUUCCUGGUGUAGCGGUGAAAUGCGUAGAUAUCAGGAAGAAUACCAGUGGCGAAGGCGGCCUGCCGGGUGCAAAYUGACGCUGAAGCGCGAAAGCCAGGGGAGCAAACGGGAUUAGAUACCCCGGUAGUCCUGGCAGUAAACGAUGUAUGCUCGGUGUGGGUAUAGCGAUAUAUCCGUGCCUAAGUUAACGCGAUAAGCAUACCGCCUGGGGAGURCGGUCGCAAGAUUGAAACUCAAAGGAAUUGACGGGGGCCCGCACAAGCGGUGGAGCACGUGGUUUAAUUCGAUGCAA